rnacentral:rRNA from 1 species
UACGUAGGGGGCAAGCGUUGUCCGGAAUUAUUGGGCGUAAAGGGUGCGUAGGCGGGUCUUUAAGUCAGGGGUGAAAUCCUGGAGCUCAACUCCAGAACUGCCUUUGAUACUGAAGAUCUUGAGUUCGGGAGAGGUGAGUGGAACUGCGAGUGUAGAGGUGAAAUUCGUAGAUAUUCGCAAGAACACCAGUGGCGAAGGCGGCUCACUGGCCCGAUACUGACGCUGAGGCACGAAAGCGUGGGGAGCAAACAGG